rnacentral:rRNA from 1 species
UACGAAGGGGGCUAGCGUUGCUCGGAAUCACUGGGCGUAAAGCGCACGUAGGCGGAUUGUUAAGUCAGUGGUGAAAUCCUGCAGCUCAACUGCAGAACUGCCAUUGAUACUGUUGUUCUUGAAUACAACUGAUGUGGGCGGAAUGUGCCAUGUAGUGGUGAAAUUCGUAGAUAUUCGCAAGAACACCAGUGGCGAAGGCGGCUCACUGGCCCGGUACUGACGCUGAGGUGCGAAAGCGUGGGGAGCAAACAGG